rnacentral:rRNA from 1 species
CUGAUGGCGACCGGCGCACGGGAGCGUAACGCGUAUGCAACCUACCUGUAACAGGGGGAUAACACUGAGAAAUCGGUACUAAUACCGCAUAACACUAUGAGAGGCAUCUCUUGUGGUUGAAAGUUUCGGCGGUUACAGGUGGGCAUGCGUUGUAUUAGCUGGUUGGUAAGGUAACGGCUUACCAAGGCGACGAUACAUAGGGGGACUGAGAGGUUAACCCCCCACAUUGGUACUGAGACACGGACCAAACUCCUACGGAAGGCAGCAG